CGCUGGCGGCGCGCUUAACACAUGCAAGUCGUGCGGUGUGGAAGGCAAGUCUUACGACAAGCCUUCGACACAGCGGCGAACGGGUGAGUAACACGUGAGUAGCUGUCCUAAGGAGGGGGAUAACGCCUGGAAACGGGUGCUAAUACCCCAUAUGCCUCGCAAGAGGUGAAAGUGUACUUGCUACAGCCUUAGGGUGUGCUCGCGGCCUAUCAGCUAGUUGGUGAGGUAACGGCUCACCAAGGCUAAGACGGGUAGCCGGCCUGAGAGGGUGUACGGCCACACUGGAAUUGAGAUACGGUCCAGA
rnacentral:rRNA from 1 species